UUUAUCGGAGAGUUUGAUCCUGGCUCAGGACGAACGCUGGCGGCGUGCCUAAUACAUGCAAGUCGAGCGGACAGAUGGGAGCUUGCUCCCUGAUGUUAGCGGCGGACGGGUGAGUAACACGUGGGUAACCUGCCUGUAAGACUGGGAUAACUCCGGGAAACCGGGGCUAAUACCGGAUGCUUGUUUGAACCGCAUGGUUCAGACAUAAAAGGUGGCUUCGGCUACCACUUACAGAUGGACCCGCGGCGCAUUAGCUAGUUGGUGAGGUAACGGCUCACCAAGGCAACG
rnacentral:rRNA from 1 species